rnacentral:rRNA from 1 species
CUGCCGGACCCCACUGCUAUCGGGAUAGGACUAAGACAUGCUAGUUGAGCGCUUCCAGCCAACACGGGAGCGCAGCGCACAGCUCAGUAACACGUGGCUAAUCUGCCCUUGGGACCGGAACACCCCCGGGAAACUGGGGCUAAUUCUCGAUAGGUGAAGAACUCUGGAAUGAGUCUUUGCCAAAAAGACGUUUACGUUAUGCUCGUAGGCGUUGCCCAAGGAUGAGGCCGCGACCGAUCAGGUUGUUGGUGAGGUAAUGGCUCACCAAGCCUUUUACCGGUGCGGGCCGUGAGAGCGGGAGCCCGGAGAUGGGCACUGAGACAAGGGCCCAGGCCCUACGGGGCGCAGCAGUCGCGAAAACUUUGCAAUACACGAAAGUGUGACAGGGCUAUCCCGAGUGCCAUCCGCUGAGGAAGGCUUUUACCCAGUCUAGAACGCUGGGGGAAUAAGGAGAGGGCAAGUCUGGUGUCAGCCGCCGCGGUAAUACCAGCUCUCCGAGUGGUGUGGAUGUUUAUUGGGCCUAAAGCAUCCGUAGCUGGCUGAGUUAGUCCCUUGUUAAAUCCACCGAAUUAAUCGUUGGAUUGCGGGGGAUACUGCUCGGCUAGGGGACGAGAGAGGCAGACGGUAUUUCUGGGGUAGGGUGAAAUCCUAUAAUCCCAGGAGGACCACCAGUGGCGAAAGCUGUCUGCUAGAACGCGCCCGACGGUGAGGGAUGAAAGCUGGGGGAGCGAACCGGAUUAGAUACCCGGGUAGUCCCAGCUGUAAACGAUGCA